rnacentral:rRNA from 1 species
GACGGAGGGAGCAAGCGUUGUUCGGAUUUACUGGGCGUAAAGGGCGUCUAGGCGGGCCAGCAAGUCAGAUGUGAAAUCCCCCGGCUCAACCGGGGAGCUGCAUUUGAUACUGCUAGUCUUGAGUACGGAAGAGGGAGGCGGAAUUCCUGGUGUAGCGGUGAAAUGCGUAGAUAUCAGGAAGAACACCGGUGGCGAAGGCGGCCUCCUGGUCCGAUACUGACGCUAAAGCGCGAAAGUGUGGGGAGCAAACAGG